rnacentral:rRNA from 1 species
ACUUUGAAAAAAUUAGAGUGCUCAAAGCAGGCGCGACGCCUGGAUAAUGGUGCAUGGAAUAAUGGAAUAGGACCUCGGUUCUAUUUUGUUGGUUUUAGGAACACGAGGUAAUGAUUAAGAGGGACAGACGGGGGCAUUCGUAUUGCGACGCUAGAGGUGAAAUUCUUGGACCGCCGCACGACGAACUACUGCGAAAGCAUUUGCCAAGAAUGUUUCCAUUAAUCAAGAACGAAAGUUAGAGGUCCGAAGGCGAUCAGAUACCGCCCUAGUUCUAACCAUAAACGAUGCCAGCCAGCGAUCCGGCUGUGUUCCUCAAAUGACACGCCGGGCAGCUUCCGGGAAACCAAAGCUUUUGGGUUCCGGGGGGAGUAUGGUUGCAAAGCUUGAACUUGAAGGAAUUGACGGAAGCGCACACAAGGAAUGGGGCCUGCGGUUUAAUUUGACUCAACACGGUGCAACUCUCCUGGCCCGGACACAGGAAGGAUUGACAGAUUGAGAGCUCUUUCUUAAUUCUGUGAUAGGUGGUGCAUGGCCGUUUCUGGUUGGUGGAGUGAUUUGUCUGCUUUAUUGCGAUAACGAGCGAGACUCUAGCCUACUAAAUAGACGUUGCGAUCCUUCUGAGUCGCACGUUCUUCUUAGAGGGACAGGCGGUGUUCAGCCGCACGAAACAGAGCAAAAACAGGUCAGGAUGCCCUUAGAUGUUCGGGGCCACACGCGCGCCACAUUGAAGGAAUCAGCGUGUGCUUUCCCUGUCCGACAGGACUGGGUAACCCGUUGAAACUCCUUCGUGCUGGGGAUAGGGGUUUGUAAUUUUCCCCCUUGAACGAGGAAUUCCCAGUAAGCGCGAGUCAUCAGCUCGUGUUGAUUACGUCCCUGCGCUUUGUACACACCGCCCGUCGCUAUUAUCGAUGAAUUUUGGAGUGAGAUCUU